UGGGGAAUAUUGCACAAUGGGGGAAACCCUGAUGCAGCGACGCCGCGUGAACGAAGAAGGUAUUCGUAUCGUAAAGUUCUGUCCUAUGGGAAGAUAAUGACAGUACCAUAGAAGAAAGCUCCGGCUAAAUACGUGCCAGCAGCCGCGGUAAUACGUAUGGAGCGAGCGUUGUCCGGAAUUAUUGGGCGUAAAGGGUACGCAGGCGGUUUAAUAAGUCGAAUGUUAAAGAUCGGGGCUCAACCCCGCAUAGCAUUGGAAACUGAUAAACUUGAAUAGUGGAUAGGAAAGUGGAAUUCCUAGUGUAGUGGUGAAAUACGUAGAUAUUAGGAGGAAUACCAGUAGCGAAGGCGACUUUCUAGACACAAACUGUCGCUGAAGUACGAAAGCGUGGGGAGCAAACAGG
rnacentral:rRNA from 1 species